rnacentral:lncRNA from 7 species
CUUCUCCUAUCGGCUGCUCGCCGUGGCUUCGGGGUUUUUGAUGUUGUCGGUAAUCGUUAAUUAAAAAUGAGCUCCGACUUCUCUGCCGAGGCUCCCUCGAGGUCUCCAGAGGAACAGUCUGGGAUGCUCACUGAACAUCCAUCUGCUCAGCAGCAGUGCUCGCAAGUGUUUCACCGGGACAGAAGAGACUCUGGAAGCUGAAGGGCUGCAACUGCAAGCCUGCGCGUUUGGACUGCUGAGCCAGCAGAGAAGUGGGCGAGGAGAAUCGAGACGGACCCCUGGAUGCCAACAUGCAGGUGCAGACCUUUCCGCUGUAAGCCCCAUAACCACAAGCCAGCCCAAAAGGACAGGUGGUACUGUGGACAUAACUGAGUGAAGUACAGCAUCGUGAAACUGCAGGAACUCUGUGACAGGUAGGGACCGGCAGUCGUCCCAUUUGGAUACGGCUCUGCUACCACCGCUCUGCAUAUGAAUGAUCCCAUCCGCAAAUCAAACUGAACGCUUAUCACAGCACAAAGCACUUGAUGAAGACUAAUGAUUCCAACGUCGGAGACUGCCCACGUAGCUUACCCUGUGGGAAAGCUCUGCCGAUAAGAGCUUUGAAGAAUAAUCUCAUACCAUUCAUCAGAAAAGGCGCUAAGGCAGCAAUGUGGAUGUCCAGCCCAGUGGAAAUGGUUUCGCAUGAUCUCUGAACUGGACGAAACAUUGGCAAGGGGUGCUGGCAACUGAUGGCAAAGAGUUGGUCACGUAUCCCACCGCCAGGUGUGUGCUGAGCAUCCUGCACGACCUCGUGGUUGUCACAGCAGCACAGGGACUGCACUGACUGAGGACCCACAGACCAACGUGAGACCCCUUCUCACACCUGCUGUAAAUGGAUGCCACGUGAAGAGUGCUGAGCGUAAGAUUCCUUGGGUUCCUCACAGGAUGAAAAGAGCCACCUCCAUGUUUACAGCACUGGAAUUGUAAGAUUUUCACCCUUUGGUCAUUUUUUUCCUUGAUUUUAUCGCAAGUUUUCUAUUACGGAGUACUCUUCCUAAGGAUACUUUACAUAAAAGACAAAAUAAAUGUAAUUGCAUCCAGAAAAUGCUCACGUGUGGUCAGAUGCUGUUAAGAUCACACUAAUUCUUGUGGAAAUUUUGUUCACUAUUUGUUUCUGAUGAGCACAGGGAUUGACAGCAUCCCUUAAAGACAUGAAAACAAAUAACUCCCUUUCAAGCACAGUCAGUAUUCCUUGCGCUGUGCUGGCACAGUGCAUCCCCUGGAUGAGUAUGCAGUGCUGGAUGGCUGCCUCUUCACCUGCAGGGCUUAUGGAGCCCUCACCUUGCUCAGAUUACCUGAGGGUAAUUUCUGGACUGGUUUGUGGCUUUGGGAUGAGGAAUUCAGCUCUCAUCACCGCACGUAGCCUGUGGGAAUGAGCAGGCAUAUGGAAUUAGGCUGCUGGGAGCAGAAGGCACCAAGUGAGCUUUCAAAUGCUCCAUCAGCAGUCAAACAGCAUUUUUCACCUCUACAUCCCUUACUUCCCAAAUCGUGGUUUAUAUUCAUGCACAUUAUCCGUGUAUCUGUAGUAACAAAAUGACUACACAUUUUGUUUCCUCACCUACCUUGGGAAUUACCUCCUGAAUGGACUAAGUACUCCGAUAACAAGAAAAAAAUACUGCUGUCGAUAUGUAAAGGAAGUGUAUAAAUACUUCUGAGUUAACCAUGGUUGAAAUAGCCUUAAUCCAAAUCAGCUGUUGUUUUUUUGUUUGUUUGUUUGUUUGCAUUGCAAAAGUCAAAAUGAGGAAGGAGUAACUGGGAGCAAAGAAGUCUCUGUAUGUCCUCUGAUGCCAGCUGUGGUGCUGCGAGCUUUAGAUCUGUGUUUUUUCCCCUCAUCUUUAAUUAAGCUUAAUGAUAAUGUGUGAUUUCUCAAGUGUAUUUUAAUGGUGUAGGUUGCUCCAGGUGAAUAAAAAAUAUUGCACAGCUGUUACAGGGCUCUGCCUUCCCUGGGCAUGGGAGCAGCGCUGCACUGUGUUACUCUGUUAUCUGCAGCUAACUGUUAGAAAUGCUCUUCCAAGCAACAAGAUGCCUUCUUCCCAACUUAUCGGUGACGCUGCGUGUCAACGGGUUAUUCAAAAGAAGUGCCACUUACAGUUCUGCUGAACUAAAAUGCAGAUGACAGGAAAAAUCAGUGCUUUCCAAACUGAAACAAAAUACCUUCGGUUCCUGCUUGCUGUGCAUCGUGAAUCUGUUUGCACCCCACCAGAAGCCAAGCGAGCAGAAUUUGAUUCAAUACAACUAACAGGAUGUGUUAUUUUCAGGUUCAUGAACAAGAACUGUUGGUUCAUUCUUCUUCCUUUCUCCUUUUCUCUUCAACUGCUGAUUCAUUUUCAGCUAUAAAUCAUCCUGGCUGGAAAUUCUGUGUAAGCCAUUAGAAAUGAAGACACAAAGUGACCAGCUGAAAAGCCAAGGAGCUGCAGUUUGACAUGCUUUCAAUACAGUAAAUGCUAAUACAACCUGAACAACUUCAGUGCAACAACUACUGCUCUGCUAAUUAAGCAAUUUUUUAAUGGGACACUUUGAAGCCAGUAGGUAUAUAUUUAUUUCACAAUCGAAACAUCUCUGAAAUCCAGGUGGCAUUAAAUUUUGCAUGAGCUUCUGGUAAAUUACAGAACUUAUUUUCCUUUAAAAGCUGUAGAAAGAAAAUUUCAGGGGGGGGAAAAAAAAGGUGCAUGCGUGUUUCUCUAAUAAGAGAGUUCUGAUUCAGGACAGAUAAUCUCCAGGACAGAUAAUCUCUUUUUACGUAAUCAUGAGACCGGGCAGAAAAAAAAUGCCCCCGAUGUAAAGCAUGUACAUUAAUCAAACUGUGUGCAACCUGAGCUGCUGAGGAAGCAACAGAGAGUUGCAGCGGGCAAAAAAGCAUUGUAAUUCAUAUUGAUCAAAAGGAACCAUCGUAUGUCUGUUUGGCUAAGUCGCACAGGUCACUUUCUGAGGGCAAAAUGAAGUAAUGAUACUGUAACUAACAUAUUUAAUUUGUUUUUCGUUUCUCCCCCUCAGCCUUUCAAACCAUUCAUUAAGUCUCUGGAGGCUACAUAUAUAGCUGUAUUCCUUGCUCUGUUGAACGCUCCUAAUUUUGAUUCAUUCUGCUGGCAUUUUAAGCUGAAGGCAAAAAUACAUACAUAU